UCAUGCAGACCAUCGUAAUUAAGGAUAUGCAGCAUGUUCGUACAAGGCACCGAGCAAGGCGUGCAGAGUCGUGUGUAAAUUGUUUUAAGGCAAAUGUUCUUGACAUUUCGAGCUGUACAGUUGGCAACCGACAAAUAUAAUGAGAGCAGUAAAGGCUCUGGUUUCUGCUAGGCAGCCCCACGUGUGGACAAGAACAGCACCUAGGGCUGGAGAGGUCAGAGCCACAUACUUCAGCGUACUGCCAUAGCAAAUAUAUGGCAAACAACGUGGUUUUAGAGAGACACAAGCUACUCCUCUGUACAGUAGUAUACCACUAGGUUUGGAGCUGCAUAUAGAUGAUAAAUGUAAACAGUUUUACGAGGGGGUAUUACAUUCCAAAGAAACGAAUCGAGAUCAGCUACACAUUUUCUACAUGUGGUAUACGCAUUUUAACGUAACUCAUUUAGGUGCAUUAUAUCCACGCCAUUCCACGUAGAAAAGGUCUACCGUUCAGGCUAACCACGCCAGAGACAAGGAAAGCUCCAGUCUUGUGAUCCUCCAGUCCACUUGGCCUCGCCUACUUCCGCUACCAUAUUAGGCCGUGACUUCCAUGUGGGGCUGAGAGUACAGCAAACGCGCUGGGGUCGUGCGGGAAAUUCCGUCAGAGGGGAAAAUGCGGUGUUGAAGCGUGAGUGAGGAACCAACUCUCCAAAUAACUCUCCAACACAGCCACCUAUAAAUCCAUUACUGUAUAUGACCGCUGCAGGCUUUGGGGAAGAAGGAAACAGACGAGAAAGAGUGAAAGGAGGAGGAGGCCAUAAUCAACAGAAUUUCGAGCAAAGCAAAUGAACACUCAGUGUUUUUACAGCCAGAACUUCCUGUAAAUCAGUAUGGUUCUCGAAAAUGCCAUUGUGGAGAAACACUGGUUUGAUUGAUCACUUCAAAUGAAUGGGUUUUAGCAGUUAUGUAUUUCAUUCAUUCAUUCACCUAACCUAAAAAGCACAGGAACAUUUUUGAUACACAUUUAAAUAAUAAAAAAAGUGAUGUUAAAUUGAUAUAAAACUUUUAACAUAUUUUAACUGGUUUGAUAUCUUAAGGUUGAUGGUUUGGGAAUAAAAAUAAGUUGAAUAGUUUCGUUGUGUCCAUACAAUAAAUCUGUAGGUCCUGUAAAGGAAUCUUUUCUUAUACCAAAUGGCUGCAAAACAUUUGAGAUCCCCCCUGCUGUGACCUGCAUGGCUGGCUACAG